UACGUAGGGUGCGAGCGUUAAUCGGAAUUACUGGGCGUAAAGCGUGCGCAGGCGGUGAGCUGUGUCCGAUGUGAAAGCCCCGGGCUUAACCUGGGAAUGGCAUUGGAAACUGGCUCGCUGGAGUGUGGCAGAGGGGGGUGGAAUUCCGCGUGUAGCAGUGAAAUGCGUAGAGAUGCGGAGGAACACCGAUGGCGAAGGCAGCCCCCUGGGCUAACACGUGACGCUCGAGGCACGAAAGCGUGGGGAGC
rnacentral:rRNA from 1 species